rnacentral:rRNA from 1 species
UACGAAGGGGGCUAGCGUUGCUCGGAAUUACUGGGCGUAAAGAGCUCGUAGGCGGUGUGUCACGUCGGCCGUGAAAACCUGCAGCUUAACUGUGGGCGUGCGGUCGAUACUGGCAUCACUGGAGUUCGGCAGGGGAGACUGGAAUUCCUGGUGUAGCGGUGAAAUGCGCAGAUAUCAGGAGGAACACCGGUGGCGAAGGCGGGUCUCUGGGCCGAUACUGACGCUGAGGAGCGAAAGCGUGGGGAGCAAACAGG